AGGCUGUCUGUUGUCCCAGGGCAUUUGGAUCUGCACUUCUCAAGUCUCUCACGUCACAUAAAACUUGAGGUGAAUCCACCGUGCUGAUCGCUCUUUUAGUAACCUAUCCUCCUUACGCUGGUGUUUGCCCCGACUCACAAAGAACACCAGUGAGAUUUACCCCUGCCUGCUCCUACAACAUCAUCUCUACCUUGGUUCAGUCGGGAUAGACUCUAGAUGAAAGAAGCCAUUUCCCCCUCAGUGCUUGGAAAUGUUCCAUUGUCUUGCGGUGUUUCGCUGAGAUUGCCAUUUUGUCCUUUCAAGUCUGACCCUGAAGAUUCUGCCUGCUCAUUCUUGGCAAUGGAGGAUUGCUCCUUAGGUUGGCUGGUGCUGAUACAAGAAUGAUCCUCAUCUAUAUGUGCAAACGGCCUUGCUAAGGAACUGCGUUACUUUAAUCUCAGCACUGAGUAGCCAGAUGUCUCAGCUCAGGAUACAGUCUGGGCAUUAGUUCUGGGCUGGCUUCUGCCGUGGAGUUUUGGCUGGACUUUUAGCAGCUCUCCUAAGCUGUCUGGGACUCACACUUUGCAUUUGUUAAGAUGGAAGGUUGGACUUCCUGAUCUCUCAGCAUCCAGGCUUCUGCAGAUGCUUACUCAGGCUGCAGAA